rnacentral:rRNA from 1 species
UACGUAGGGGGCUAGCGUUGUCCGGAAUCAUUGGGCGUAAAGCGCGUGUAGGCGGUCCGGUAAGUCCGCUGUGAAAGUCGGGGGCUCAACCCUGGGAUGCCGGUGGAUACUGUCGGGCUCGAGUCCGGAAGAGGCGAGUGGAGUUCCUGGUGUAGCGGUGAAAUGCGCAGAUAUCAGGAGGAACACCAAUGGCGAAGGCAGCUCGCUGGGACGUGACUGACGCUGAGACGCGAAAGCGUGGGGAGCAAACAGG